UACGUAGGGGGCAAGCGUUGUCCGGAUUCAUUGGGCGUAAAGAGCGUGUAGGCGGCCAGGUAGGUCGGUUGUGAAAACUGGAGGCUCAACCUUCAGAGGUCGACCGAAACCAUCUGGCUAGAGUCCGGGAGAGGAGAGUGGAAUUCCUGGUGUAGCGGUGAAAUGCGCAGAUAUCAGGAAGAACACCCGUGGCGAAAGCGGCUCUCUGGAACGGUACUGACGCUGAAGCACGAAAGCGUGGGGAGCAAACAGG
rnacentral:rRNA from 1 species